CAAUGAUGAUAUACAUCUGAUAAAGCACUGCUGUUCGUGUGUUUUAAAUAGUACAAAAAUAUUUAUAUAUUGCACCAUGUAUAUUGACUAUAUUUCGCACUCUUUGUCUUUCAGACCGACGAGUCUUUCUCCCAUUUCUCAAGAGUCUGAAUAGUCGAUAUCUGCGAGAACUAGUUGCCUCCCAUUUGAACUUGGAUAUUAAUUACAACGUGUUUUGCAUUUCAUUGUUUGAAAAGUGUGGUAAUUUAUAUUUUGUGCAUGAUCUUCACUUCUUUUUUAUUAGGAUUCACAUUCAUUUCUGAUAUUUUUGUUUCUCAUUAUAUCUCAUUCAUUUUUCAUUGCUGUCGACGGGAAUAAUUAAAUUUAUCAUAUAAUCGGACAUGAAUCAUUCAGAACUUUAAGUUGUUUGGGCAAUAUAAUAAAUACUGAUGUCUAUAUAUAGAGAUAAUUUACUAAAAACCUUUCAGAUACUAAUUUCGUAAUUUCUUUCUGAGUUUGAGACUUGCGAUCGAUCUUAGUUUAAUCCAUUAGUGUCAAAUGUUGUUUAAAUAAAAUGC